UUUUCAUGUGUGCUCCGCUCUUUACUGAAAACCUGUUUGACCUGUUUUGGGGCGGAGGAGGAAGAGAAGAGAAUGAAGAGGGUAGGAUCCUAAAAGUGUGCUGUUGAUUUUCUACCUUCAUUUCGGUCUAUUUUUAAAUUAUUUAUGCGUUGUUUAUGUUUGUUUGUUUCAUGUAAAUGUCUUAAAACUAAAUUGUAUAGAUAGGUUCCAGUUCCAUGCAUUUUAAGUGUAAUUUACUUUUUAUAAUCGCUGUAAAGCAUGAAGCUCCUGUUUCAACUCGUGGACUUAAAGCUGGAUCUUCUCCAGUUUCAGCACUAUAUUAGAGCCUAGAUCAGGACUGCAGAAAGGUUAUAAGAAGAUAAAAGAAGACUAAUGCCAAAUCUGAGCUACACUAAGACUCCACUGAUGAGUUCAGGUCAACUACUACACACUAUCCAGCAACAAUGGCUUCACCCAGACCCCGGCAACGACGCGGAAGCAUGGAGCUGCCAACUAACAUGUUAUCUGAUGUUAUUCACCUCACAGAUGAAUUGAAUAGACUUAAUGAGGACGUUUCCUUAGAAUGUAACAAGCAUAAAGAGAAAUUUCAUGAUGCCAUCAAUGAGUUUAAAAAUGGUAACAGAUUUACUUCUUAUGC